AGGCAGCUGCGCGGGCUUCCCUCUCCAGUUUUCUGAGUCCGCAAUCUGAAAGAGACUAGCAGAAAAGACAUGAGAAGAGGGGAGGAUGGGUGGGCGUGUAAGAGCACAGAUGACCAUUAGAAGAACCCAAGUUACAGGUAAGCAACCUGUCGUUCUUCGAUGUGCUUUACACGAAUGGGCGCAUAGCAAGCUGCACCCGUGCCGUGCUCACCUGGAGGUGGGAUCAGGCAAAGAUAGAUUGUAGCACCGCCCUGCCAAACGCCGUGUCUUUUGUGGCUUGGACAUCCAGGGCGUAGUGUUGUAUGAAAGAGUGCUUUGACGCCCACGUAGCCGCCUGGCAGAUGACAUCCAGCAGAAUAGACCGGUCAAAGGCAGUAGACGCUGCAACCGCCCUCUUUGAGUGUGCCUUAACAGAGAGCAGGAGAGGUUUCUUGGCAAUCUGGUAUGCUAAGGAGAUGGUGCGGACUACCUAUCUGGAUAUGGUCUGUGCAGAGGCCUGCUUACCCCUGUUAGGGCCAGAGUGGAGCACAAAGAGAGAAUUGGAGGUUCAAAGGGCAGAGGUGCGGUCGACAUAGAAGGCAAGUGCUCUACGAACGUCUAGAGUGUGGAGGCAUCGUUCGUCUGCAGUCGAUGGCUCGGCAAAGAAGGUGGGUAAGGAGAUUGGUUGGGAACAGUGAAACGUUGUGACUACCUUCGGAAGGAAGGAAAUGUCUGACUGAAGAACGGCUUUUUCCUUGUGGAAGGUCAAGUAUGGAGGGUCAACUCUAAGAGCCCUGAGUUCACUGACCCGCAUGGUCGAGGUGAUAGCCGUGAGGAAGGCUACUUUACAGGAAAGGAGGUCGAGAGAAAUCGUAGCCAUGGGUUCAAAGGGAGCGAUCAUGAGUGAAGAGAGCACCAAGGUCAGGUCCCAAGAUGGGGCCAUGAUUGGCGAGUCCGGAUAAAGGGCUGGUACCACGGGGGCCAUGCAUUUGGUGAAUACCCGGGGCACAGAUGCCAGUCUGAAGGGGAGGGCACGGAAUUGAGAGGAACCAUUGAAGGGAAGAUCUUCCACUCUGGAUCUAGUAUCGGGCGUGAGACUGGAAGACCUGAGCGAGGCAUGGCGACGGAGGGCAACGGAAGUUGCCAUUACUUUAGCACCUCCCUCCAUGGAGUGGCGAAUUGCAUGAAGUUCCUGCUUAGAGACCUGCGUGGCCUCCCAGAGAAGGACUUUGACCAGGCCCUGCUGUUCUCGUCCAGAGCAGCUUCCAAGUCUCGGUUGGCCCAGCGGCAUGGUUGCUCCAGAGGGAGCUCCUCAGGCUCAGAGUCGUGCUCGGACUCAUACAUGGGAUCAUGUGGGCUAGAGCCGUAGGCGACCUUGGUAUCAAGGAUAGUUUCAGUAUAUAGAGUUCGGGAUCAACUUUCGAUAUCGUGCGUCGACCUCUGCUUCUUUGUUGGUGGUUCAGAAGGAGCGCGACGGUCCUUCUUCUCUUUUUCUUUUUGGCCAGCUGGACAUAACGCGGUUCAGUCAAUGCCGCCGUCAAAAUCAACACUGCUACCGAACUCCUCGGUAUCGACAUCGAAGCCCGAGCCACAGGAUCAACGGGUAUAUUCACCUCAGGGGUAGCCGCCGAGACUCCCAGAGGGGACAAAAUGGGCUGUAAGCCCUGGGCUGCAGGAGAGGUAUUGGACGAAGCCUGCAUGGUGGACAGUUUGUCCAAGCCCGUAGUUUGGAAUGCCUGUUACCAAAGCCAAGAAUGAAGUCAAGAGGCUCGAUUUUUGCGCACCUGUUUCGUAAAGGCUGCACAGUGCAGACAAGAGCCACAGUGCAGACAAGAGCCAACCUUAUGGGAUUCACCCAGGCAAAAAAGGCAGAGCUUGUGGCCGUCGGUCAAAGGGAUUUUGGAUUUGCAGUGACCACACUGCUUAAAUUUUGUAGUCUUUGCUAUAGGCCAAAGAAGGUAUUGGAGAAAAGCGGAGGCGAAGGAUCUGCAGCAUGCUGGGCCUGACGGCCGUGACGGAGUGGAAAACGAAACUAGGGAGAUAUCCGAGGGGGUGACCGGGGACGAAAUAAAAACGCUAAAGAAGGGAUGUAUUGAAUGAAAAUAAGGGGGGAAAGGGAAGGAGUAAUGCAGUACUUGCAAAAGAGUCUAGCAAGGAGCAGCUCAGUGAUGUGUCUUCAAUCGUGGAUGAAGAAAGACUGGAGAGGGAAGCCCGUGCAACCGCCUAUAUCCCGAGGGGGCGGGGUUACCGCCAAAAGUUAGAACUCUAGCCUGGAAGCUCCGAUGUGGUCUCUGCGCAGGUGCAAAGCCCAUUCGUGUAAAGCACAGAGACAAUGUCAAAGAACAAAAGAUUCAAAGAAGGAGAAAAUGACAGGAGCACAUUGGCUCUAUCUUUCUUGAUAGGCUCAUCAGAAGUAAAGUGUAUGUGUACAUUGCCAAGGAGCAGAGGGGGAAAUGGGACUGUAGAAGUGAGGAAGGAAUUCUUGUGCAAUAUGAAUCAGGCAGUAAAAACAGUAGAACACUCAACCCUGCCACAGACACUAUCAAGUUGCGCAGUGUUGCUUACUUUGAUGAGACACAGAAAUCUAAUGUCAAUACAAAGUCUAGUUGUAACUUAGUUUUCCCAACAGGUGAAGAAGCUGAUCCGAAACGACAAUGUAAAAAUAAAGAAAUAAUCAUCAGUCUUGAUGCUGAAGAGAUAUCUGAUCAAGAAGGGGUGAUUGAACCACAACUAGAAGUGAGACAUUCAAAUAGGAUUAGUAAAGGGAUUCCACCUAAAAGAUUCUCUUUUGAGGCAAAAGAGGAGAACAUACCUGAAUCCAUAGAUUGGCAUAAAAUAAAAGGAAUACAUACCUGAUUCAGAUACACAUAAAUGGAUACAGGCUGCUAAGGAAGAGAUAGGUUCAUUUCAUAAGAAUAAGACAUUGACACUUGUAAAGUUACCAGAAAACAGAAAGGCCAUAGGAUGCAAAUGGGUGUUUUGCAAAUGGAUGAAACAAUCAUCUAGAUCAAACCUGCUCAACUUCAGCCCUCCUGCAGAUGUUGGCCUACAACUCCCAUAAUCCCUGGCUAUUGGCCACUGUGGCUGGGAAUUAUGAGAGUUGUAGUCCAAAUGCAGUUGGUGGGGGGGCAAAGUUGAGCAGGCCUGAUCUAGAUGUAAAGACUGCAUUUUUAUAUGGUGAUAUCAAAGGGGGAGACAGACAGACAGAUAGAUAGAUAGAUAGAUGGAUGGAUGCAGCAACCUCCAGGUUUUGAGGAGUUAGGUAAAUACACUCUUGUGUGUAAACUACAGAAAAGUAUAUAUGGACUUAAACAAGCCAGAGCUUGGAAUGGUAAAUUAAGUGUAUUGCUUCUGGAAGAAGGAUUUAGACAGGGGAAAGCUGAUCCUUGCCUAUACACUAGAUAUAGAGAUGAAAGAUGGACAUACAUUCUUAUAUAUGUAGAUGAUCUGAUUGAUUUUCAUCAGGAUAAGAAAGAUUAUGAUGAGAUAUUGAAGAAUUUAAAUAAAGAAGUAGAAAUUA